AUCUAAAAGCAAGGUUGGUCUUUAGUUUCUCUUACUUUCGGUAAAACUCUGCGGAUGAAAUCUUACUCUCAUAGGUCUCGUCAGCAACAGAGUUUACUGAUAAAGAAUCAGAAAAGCAUGACGAAUCUGAUGAUGGAGAACAGGAGAAGCAACAAGGGCUAAAGCAAGGACGUGAGAGUUUGGAGAAGAAAAGAUGAAGAAGGGUUGAGAGGAAGAACAAGCAGAAUUAGUUGACGAUUUGAGUGUAGUAAAACAAAGAAAUCAGAGUUAUCCUUGCUCGAGUAUGAUUAUGUUCCCAAGAUGGUUGUAUUCGUGGAUUCGAAUCUGCCAUGUCUAGCACGCCAAGUGUUCGACGAUAUUCCAUACUUGAAUGUUGUCUCUGCUACAUCGGAAAUAUAAACGCAAUUUUGUAUCACAGAUGGAUACUCAACAUUGUUGAAAGUUUUCAUCUCUUGUUCUUGAGGAGGAUGAAGAAGUAUGGAUUACAAAUUCUUUUGGUCAAGGCUAGUUUAAUUCCCAUUAAAUGAGAUUGGAAUUCUUAUCCCUUGAUACUUCAAGAAAAUAGAGACAAUGAUAACAUGAUGGAACUAUCAUAUUCGGCUAUCGCAAAGCUUGAUCAAGCAAAACAGAAUGAGAUCCAACCUUCUUCAUAAAAAUUAGAAGGUUAUUUACUUUACUUCGUCUUUGUUACUCUUGAUGGUUUUGGUUUUGGCAAUUUCAGUUCCAAACUAAUUCAGGCUAUCCACAAGCUUUCCUUUCGGCAUCAAGACUUCAAGGACUAUUGUUGCUUUGGAGAAGGCAGUGAAGUGAGAAUUGCUUGGAAUGAGACAACCUAAGUUCUUUGAAGGAGAGAAAGAGCAAGCUAAUG